rnacentral:rRNA from 1 species
AGCGAACGCUGGCGGCAGGCUUAACACAUGCAAGUCGAGCGGGCACUUUCGGGUGUCAGCGGCGGACGGGUGAGUAACGCGUGGGAACGUGCCCUCUGGUUCGGAAUAACUCAGGGAAACUUGAGCUAAUACCGGAUACGCCCUUUUGGGGAAAGGCUUGCUGCCGGAGGAUCGGCCCGCGUCUGAUUAGCUAGUUGGUGAGGUAACGGCUCACCAAGGCGACGAUCAGUAGCUGGUCUGAGAGGAUGAUCAGCCACACUGGGACUGAGACACGGCCCAGACUCGUACGGGAGGCAGCAGUGGGGACUAUUGGACAAGGGGCGCAAGCCUGAUCCAGCCGUGCCGCGUGAGUGAGGAAGGGCUUAGGGUUGUAAAGCUCUUUUAUCCGGGACGAUAAGGACGGUACCGGAGGAAUAAGCCCCGGCUAACUUCGU